rnacentral:tRNA from 2 species
GCGAGUAUAGUACAGUGGCAGUACAUCUGCUUCCCAAGCAGAUGACGCGGGUUCGAUUCCCGCUACUCGCA